CUUGGCACUGGGAGAAUUC
rnacentral:miRNA from 8 species